GACGUAGGGGGCGAGCGUUGUCCGGAUUUACUGGGCGUAAAGAGCGCGUAGGCGGCUUGUUAGGUGUGAAGUGAAAUCUCCAGGGCUCAACCCGGAAACGGCUUUACAUACUGGCAAGCUAGAGGAAUGCAGAGGUAAGUGGAUUUCCUGGUGUAGCGGUGAAAUGCGUAGAUAUCAGGAGGAACACCGAUGGCGAAGGCAGCCUACUGGGCAUUAUCUGACGCUGAGGCGCGAAAGCGUGGGUAGCAAACAGG
rnacentral:rRNA from 1 species